rnacentral:rRNA from 1 species
GACGAACGCUGGCGGCGUGCUUAACACAUGCAAGUCGAACGGAAAGGCCCUGCUUUUGUGGGGUGCUCGAGUGGCGAACGGGUGAGCAACACGUGAGUAACCUGCCCUUGACUUUGGGAUAACUUCAGGAAACUGGGGCUAAUGCCGGAUAGGAGCUCCUGCUGCAUGGUGGGGGUUGGAAAGUUUCGGCGGUUGGGGAUGGACUCGCGGCUUAUCAGCUUGUUGGUGGGGUAGUGGCUUACCAAGGCUUUGACGGGUAGCCGGCCUGAGAGGGUGACCGGCCACAUUGGGACUGAGAUACGGCCCAGACUCCUACGGGAGGCAGCAGUGGGGAAUAUUGCACAAUGGGCGGAAGCCUGAUGCAGCAACGCCGCGUGCGGGAUGACGGCCUUCGGGUUGUAAACCGCUUUCGCCUGUGACGAAGCGUGAGUGACGGUAAUGGGUAAAGAAGCACCGGCUAACUACGUG